AUGCAUUGACGUAAUGAUCCAAAUGGCCGUUUUAAGCAUUUGAAUUCUAUUCAGCUGUUUGAAGUAGUGAGUAGCUUCAUAUGAUGUAGUAUGACUUGUGUGAAUCAUUAAUUUUGAUUUUCAAGUGAUUCGAAAUUUACUCGGAAGAAUGAAUCAUAUGUUAGAAGCUUUAAGUUAGAAGAGUUGACCAAGUUUGAAAAUUGUGUAUUUGAGCCUGGAUCAAAUUUUUGAUGGUUUCGUUAGGUCUAGAUGGUGAUUUUUGACUUGGUCGUAUGCCCUAAUUUGCAUUUGGAUAUUUCUUGAAGGUUAUGGUAAAAUUGGCGAAAAUUGGCAAUUUGAUUUUGGAAAGUUCAUAGUUUUGACAUGGGAUUGAAUUGGAUGAUAUUGGAUUUGGGUUAUGGUUUUAGAAGUUGGAACAACUCUGCUAUAUUAUUUGGAACUUGUGUGCAAAAUUUAAGGUCAUUCUGAGUUGAUUUGACAUGAUUCAGCACAAGUUUUGAAAGUUGGAAGUUCGAAACUUUAUUAAGUUUGAUUUGAGGUGUGUUUCUUAAUUUUGAUGUUUUUAUGUGUGAUUUAAGGCCUCGAGUAGGUCCGUAUUAUGUUUUGGAACUUUUUGGUAUGUUGGGACGGGGUUCCGAGAGGCUUGGGCGAGUUUCGGAUGUGGUUAGGUUCAUUUUGCCUCAUGUUGCAUUGCUGAAGAGGGAUUGGUGCUGGUGUUCCUACAUAUACAGAAGUAUGGAUGCAGAUGCAGACCAAUGGUCGCAUAAUUGAAAGGGGUUGUGUUUGGGAACAUCACAGAUGCGAGGUAUUGGGAGGCAUUUGCGUUAUUGCAAAAGCGAUGGCUGGGGUGCAUGAGCGAGAUGUUGUGAAAAUAUGUAUUUUGUGUCACACCUACGAUGUCGUACAAGUAGAUGGUUCUUCGCAAGUAUGAGUGAUCAAAUUUCCAGCUGUUUCAACAGAAGCAGACACAACUUUUCUAAAGCGACUCCGCAAAACCGGCUUAUUCUUCGCAUUUGUGAAAUUCGUGGGAAGAAGCUAUAUAUUCAAGGGCUUGUUCAUUUUGUCACAUUGGGAGAUUUGGAGCUCAACUUUGGGAAAUUGUGGAGAGGAUUUUUACCACAUGGACUGGGGUAAGUAUUUCCUACUCGGUUUUGAUUACAUUCCAUGAUUCCAUCUUGGAUUUUUGGCAUAUUUUUGAGUUUUGAACAUCGAUUCCAAGUUGGAUUUGUAUGAAAUUAGUAUGGUUGGACUCGUAAUUGAUAGCGUUGUCAGAUUUUGUGAUUUUUUUCCGGUUCCGAGGUGCAGACCGAGAUUUACAAUUUUGGUUGAAUUUGAGUAUUAGAUAAAAUACUCGUUUUUUUUCAAUUGGGGUAGUUUCCUUAGGCAUUAUUUGAUGUCUUUGAUUUGACUUUAGCUUGUUUUAAGUCGUUCGGAGGUUUACUUGCACGGGAUGGUUUUCUAGAGUAUUGUUGGCCUGUUCGGUAUUUGAUUUGGCCUGUUCGAGGUAAGUAACAUAUCUAAACUUGAAUUUGAGGGUAAAUAUCCUUGAGAAUUGUAGUAUUUGAGAUGGGUUGGGGGAGACGCACGUGCUAGCUGACGGGCACGGGUGCAUACAUCAAGGUAUUUCAUGAUCUAGGUGGGUUGUGAACUAUUAUUUACCUUGUUUUUCUAUCAUGCUUCUUCGAUUUCAUCUAUUCUCUAUCUAUGUUGCUGCGUGAGAUAUCAUUUAUGUUAGAGUCACGUCUAGGCCACCUGCUUAAUUGUUUGAGUCAUGAUUUGGUUAUUCACGCCAUGUUGAACUUUUUGCCUUAGUCGUAGUCAUAUUGUACGGUCAUGAUAGUUACAUCUACG
rnacentral:lncRNA from 1 species